rnacentral:rRNA from 1 species
AGCUCCAAUGGCGUAUAUUAAAGUUGUUGCAGUUAAAAAGCUCGUAGUUUGACCUGUGGCUGGUGCGGCCCAACCACAUGUGGUACUGGGCCGUCCCACCCAUGUUUGGGAAGAUGCUGUGUGGCAUUAGGUUGUCGUGCAGUGGACGCCCAUCAUUUACUGUGAAAGAAUUAGAGUGUUCAAAGCAGGCUUAUGCUGUUGAAUAUGUUAGUAUGGAAUAACAAGAUAGGGCCGUUUUGUGGCGUGAUUUUGUUGGUUUGUGCGCUUCGGUAAUGAUUAAUAGGGACAGUUGGGGGUAUUUGUAUUCCAUUGUCAGAGGUGAAAUUCUUGGAUUUUUGGCAGACAAACUACUGCGAAAGCAUUUACCAAGGAUGUUUUCACUGAUCAAGAACGAAAGUAC